UACGUAGGGUGCGAGCGUUAAUCGGAAUUACUGGGCGUAAAGCGUGCGCAGGCGGUUUGUUAAGCCAGAUGUGAAAGCCCCGGGCUCAACCUGGGAACUGCGUUUGGUACUGGCAAGCUAGAGUACGGCAGAGGGGGGUGGAAUUCCACGUGUAGCAGUGAAAUGCGUAGAGAUGUGGAGGAACACCGAUGGCGAAGGCGGCCAUCUGGGACAACACUGACGCUGAAGCACGAAAGCGUGGGGAGCAAACAGG
rnacentral:rRNA from 1 species